rnacentral:lncRNA from 1 species
ACUAACUGGGCACGUGAUUGAUUCUAAGUCCCUCCCUUGUCACUCUGACAUAAAGAUAGGCAUACAGAGAAAUGAAAUAGAAUUGAGACUCCAGCAGAUGUGCAUGUUCUCACAUUUUUGAUCAACAGACAUUUAUCAAAAGAAGACAUUCAUGUGGCCAACAAGCAUAUGAAAAAAAGCUCAACAUCACUGAUCCUUAGAGAAAUGCACAUCAAAACCAUGAUGAGAUGCCAUCUCAAAAUAAAGGAGAAUAAUUUGAAUGUUCCUCUCACAAAGAAAAAGUAAUU